AGCAUGAAGUGAAGAGGCCGAUGCGGGACAGGGAGAACAAGAACUCCUGCGACUGAUAGAGAGGAUGCCAACGCCAUGAAGCGGCUUGAGCCAAUGUUGAUGAGGCUUCACGCUUAGAACUAAUGCAUCACAAGGCUAAAGGAUUGGCUCGGCCAUAUUGGAGUUCAGGUAUCCUACCUUGAAAUCCAUAACUCAAGAAGGUAGCUAUAAUUCCUAAUCAGUGAAAGUUUGUUUCCGAUUUAAUUAUCAUCAAUCUUUUGACUAAAUGCCUAUAAAACGAGAAGAGCAAGGCAAAUCAGGAUUUUCUGUUAUGGUUUCCCUGACUGAGACAAAUUUACUAAUCUGUUAGCAAACCUGAUAUUUGUAGAAAUACCUUCUAGCAUAAAUAAAAUUGCUGGUAUAGACCAUGAGGCACACACCUACUGAACAGUUUGUAUCACUUGUGGAAU